rnacentral:rRNA from 1 species
UAGGGAAUCUUCGGCAAUGGACGAAAGUCUGACCGAGCAACGCCGCGUGAGUGAAGAAGGUUUUCGGAUUGUAAAACUCUGUUGUUAGAGAAGAACAAGGACGUUAGUAACUGAACGUCCCCUGACGGUAUCUAACCAGAAAGCCACGGCUAACUACGUGCCAGCAGCCGCGGUAAUACGUAGGUGGCAAGCGUUGUCCGGACUUAUUGGGCGUAAAGCGAGCGCAGGCGGUUUGUUAAGUCUGAUGUGAAAGCCCCCGGCUCAACCGGGGAGGGUCAUUGGAAACUGGGAGAUUUGAGUGCAGAAGGGGAGAGUGGAAUUCCAUGUGUAGCGGUAAAAUGGGUAGUUAUAUGGAGGAAAACCAGUGGCGAAGGAGGCUCUCUGGUCUGUAACUGACGCUGAGGCUCGAAGGCGUGGGGGGCAAAAAGG